ACUUAAAUUGAAGAGUUUGAUCAUGGCUCAGAUUGAACGCUGGCGGCAGGCCUAACACAUGCAAGUCGAACGGUAGCACAGAGAGCUUGCUCUCGGGUGACGAGUGGCGGACGGGUGAGUAAUGUCUGG
rnacentral:rRNA from 1 species